rnacentral:rRNA from 1 species
AUUGAACGCUGGCGGCAGGCCUAACACAUGCAAGUCGAGCGGUAGAGAGGAGCUUGCUUCUCUUGAGAGCGGCGGACGGGUGAGUAAUGCCUAGGAAUCUGCCUGGUAGUGGGGGAUAACGUUCGGAAACGGACGCUAAUACCGCAUACGUCCUACGGGAGAAAGUGGGGGAUCUUCGGACCUCACGCUAUCAGAUGAGCCUAGGUCGGAUUAGCUAGUUGGUGAGGUAAAGGCUCACCAAGGCGACGAUCCGUAACUGGUCCGAGAGGAUGAUCAGUCACACUGGAGCUGGGACACGGUCCAGACUCCUACGGGAGGCAGCAGUGGGGAAUAUUGGACAAUGGGCGCAAGCCUGAUCCAGCCAUGCCGCGUGUGUGAAGAAGGUCUUCGGAUUGUAAAGCACUUUAAGUUGGGAGGAAGGUCAGUAGCUUAAUACGUUGCUGAUUUGACGUUACCGACAGAAUAAGCACCGGCUAACUCUGUGCCAGCCGCCGCCGUAAAAC